GUGCCAAUGGUAAGAAGUAAAUGUGCCCUUAAAACAUAUGUUCCUUAUCACCAACAAAACGAAGGCCAGGCCAUAUGAGAAAGAAACUGAACUGAGUCAUUUCAAUGAUGCAACUCACAUCAAAUGCAACUGAUAGAAUUCUUUAUUUCAAAAUUCAAAACCACAUACAGUUUACUUCAAUGUCUUUUAGUUGAUAAAACCAUGAUUGAUCAAGAAUAAUAAAGGUCAGUGAUGACCACCACCACCACCAUCUACACCUUCCUUUUUCUUUUGUGAAGCAGCUCUCAAUUGGCGCUGCUCCUCUUUGUAGAUUCGGUUCCUACGUUGAUACUCUUUGGAAUGAUGAAGACACUCGAAGUAGUCUUCUCUAAGAAGUACACAGUCCUUGGGCUCCCUGCAUCGAGACAUACACUCACUGAAAUCCAUCCAGAAAUCAUAGCAUCGUCCUUUAUUCCCUGUAAUUCCCCAUCCAGACGCCAUUGGAGUAAACUCUUUCCUCCCUCCUCCCCU
rnacentral:misc_RNA from 1 species